AUUGAACGCUGGCGGCAUGCCUAACACAUGCAAGUCGAACGGCAGCACGGGAGCUUGCUCCUGGUGGCGAGUGGCGACGGGUGAGUAAUGCAUAGGAAUCUGCCCAGUAGCGGGGGACAACUUGGGGAAACUCAAGCUAAUACCGCAUACGCCCUACGGGGGAAAGCGGGGGGACCUUCGGGCCUCGCACUAUUGGAUGAGCCUAUGUCAGAUUAGCUUGUUGGUGGGGUAAAGGCCUACCAAGGCGACGAUCUGUAGCUGGUCUGAGAGGACGAUCAGCCACACUGGGACUGAGACACGGCCCAGACUCCUACGGGAGGCAGCAGUGGGGAAUAUUGCACAAUGGGCGAAAGCCUGAUGCAGCAAUGCCGCGUGUGUGAAGAAGGCCUGCGGGUUGUAAAGCACUUUCAGUAGGGAGGAAACAGUAGCCGGUUAAUAUCCGGUUGCCUUGACGUUACCUACAGAAGAAGCACCGGCUAACUCUGUG
rnacentral:rRNA from 1 species